GACGUAGGGCGCGAGCGUUGUCCGGAUUUAUUGGGCGUAAAGAGCUCGUAGGCGGCUCGUUGCGUCAACCGUGAAAACCCGGGGCUUAACUUCGGGCUUGCGGUUGAUACGGGCGGGCUGGAGUUCGGUAGGGGAGACUGGAAUUCCUGGUGUAGCGGUGAAAUGCGCAGAUAUCAGGAGGAACACCGGUGGCGAAGGCGGGUCUCUGGGCCGAUACUGACGCUGAGGCGCGAAAGCUAGGGUAGCAAACGGG
rnacentral:rRNA from 1 species